ACCGUUAAUUUUGCCCUAAAACUAAGUAUUCAUAGAUCCGCAAGAUCUAUACCACUUCCUGAAUUUCAAAUUUUAUUGCGGGUAUUGGAAAUUUAUUUAGAACAUCAAAGACAUACGAGGAUUUGAGAUGGGGCAUUAUUUGUUUUCAUAAACCUUAAGUCCUAUAGAAACAUCAUCCUUUAUCAACAAAAGUUGGGCCAUUUUUUAUACACGUGGGGAUGUAUAUUCGUCAAAUACAAUAUUCAUAUUCCACUUGGAGCAGUGAGAUUUUCUUAAAUAAACCAUUACAUCACCUUUAUGGAAAGUAGCAGGCCAAAAAACAUUCUCUCAAUAAAUUAAUUAUGUAAUAAGUAGUUUCUCACAAUGCCCUCUUAUCAUAUCUCCAGCGCUUGGACAAAAACACACUCCCUCUCUCUCUCUCUCCAAUCAAAAUAUCCAGUCUCUCUUUCCAUGGCACUCUCACGAAAAUCUGCACAUUUUCUACAACCAUAGAACACCAUACUUAAUAAUUUUGCACUAAAUUCCACAUGGCAAAAACACGAAAAACAUUGAAAAGUACACAAAAAUAUAAUUAAGCUGCAGGAGCGCAAUCAUAAUCAUCAUCGUCAUCGUCGUCUCCUUCCCCGAUUCUCUUCUGAUGCCAUUUCUGGCCAACAAAAGGAGCAUCAUACCUCUGCAACAUUAUUCUUUAUGACAAAAAAAGAAACUAAAUGAAGAACCAGUAAAAAAAAAGAGACAAUGGAAAAUUGUAAUAGUAAAGAAAGUAUUAGGAAUGGAGAAAGUGAAU
rnacentral:lncRNA from 1 species